UUUUAUAUAGUUUAAAAAACAUUAUACCUUCAAUAUAAAAUUAAUUUAUUAUAAAUUUAU
rnacentral:tRNA from 1 species